AACUAAUUCUAACAUUUGGUUUUGGUUUAGGGAGCCAGCAGCAUACUGCUCGAUUUAUUCAAUUGAGGGGGGAGAACGAUGAGCUGUUCACCGGGGUGAAAUACUCAGCAAGUGUAGCUUGGGGGACUAUUCUGGAGAAAAUAGGCCUGCAGGGGAAGGUGACUCCCCUGCAGGCAAAGAAAAAAUGGGACAAUUAAAAAAA